AGAGUUUGAUCCUGGCUCAGAGCGAACGCUGGCGGCAGGCUUAACACAUGCAAGUCGAGCGGGCGUAGCAAUACGUCAGCGGCAGACGGGUGAGUAACGCGUGGGAACGUACCUUUUGGUUCGGAAUAGCUCAGGGAAACUUGAAUUAAUACCGGAUAAGCCCUUACGGGGAAAGAUUUAUCGCCGAAAGAUCGGCCCGCGUCUGAUUAGCUAGUUGGUGAGGUAACGGCUCACCAAGGCGACGAUCAGUAGCUGGUCUGAGAGGAUGAUCAGCCACAUUGGGACUGAGACACGGCCCAAACUCCUACGGGAGGCAGCAGUGGGGAAUAUUGGACAAUGGGCGCAAGCCUGAUCCAGCCAUGCCGCGUGAGUGAUGAAGGCCCUAGGGUUGUAAAGCUCUUUUGUGCGGGAAGAUAAUGACGGUACCGCAAGAAUAAGCCCCGGCUAACUUCGUGCCAGCAGCCGCGGUAAUACGAAGGGGGCUAGCGUUGCUCGGAAUCACUGGGCGUAAAGGGUGCGUAGGCGGGUCUUUAAGUCAGGGGUGAAAUCCUGGAGCUCAACUCCAGAACUGCCUUUGAUACUGAGGAUCUUGAGUUCGGGAGAGGUGAGUGGAACUGCGAGUGUAGAGGUGAAAUUCGUAGAUAUUCGCAAGAACACCAGUGGCGAAGGCGGCUCACUGGCCCGAUACUGACGCUGAGGCACGAAAGCGUGGGGAGCAAACAGGAUUAGAUACCCUAGUAGUCC
rnacentral:rRNA from 1 species